UUACUUCGGACCUUUCGAAGUAGCGGUAAAGAGAUCGCUCGAGAAGAGAUGGGGCGUCAUAUUCACCUGUCUCUCAACAAGAGCAGUACAUAUUGAGAUGGCAGAAAAUCUCAGUACUGAUGCGUUCAUGGUCGUGUUAAGGAACUUCCAGAACCGAAGAGGAAAGGUCACCAGUAUCUACAGCGACAACGGAACGAAUUUCGUUGGAGCAGAGCGAGAGUUAAAGUCGCUGGUCAAUGAAAUCAACGAGAAGAUGGGCAAAAAUGAAGCAGCAAAGAUGGAAAUCCAGUGGAGAUUCAACCCACCUUCAGCACCACAUUUUGGAGGCGCUUGGGAGAGAUUAAUAAGAAACGUCAAAGUGGCACUAGCAGAGAUCCUGAAAGUUUGGGACAGAAGCAAGCCAUCAGCAGCAACGUUGCAAGCCGCAUUCAUCCAAGCGGAAUUCUUAGUCAACUCUCGACCGUUGACACACAUACCAGUCUCCUGCAUCGACGAUGAAGUGUUGACGCCAUUCCACGCGUUAAUAGGAAGAGCAAGAGAGUAUGCCCCACCGUAUGCACCAACGACCAGUCAGUAUGACACAGCGCAAUGGAGACGCAUUCAACAUUAUUCCAAGUUGUUUUGGAACCGAUGGAAGAAGGAGUACUUACCAACUCUGUUAAAGCGUAAUAAGAAUACGCAGAAAGUAGAACCGAUCAAAGUCAACGACAUCGUCUUAAUCACGGACGACGACGCACCACCAGGAAAAUGGCUCAAAGGAAGAAUCAUCGAAACGUUUGUGGCGAAAGAUGGUCAAGUUCGCCAAGUGAAGAUACAAACCACUAAGGGGAUCCUCAAACGACCAGCAGUCAAAGUAGCAGUGCUGGACAUAGUCAAAGGAAAUGAUCCAGCCAACUGAGCGAGAACUGAUGUAAGCUCGCGCCAGAGCCAAGAUGUAUAAGUCAAGGACAAAGCAUUGAGGAGGACAAGCUGCGUUAUAUCCGAAAGAAGCAGCCAAUAGAAGAAAGCUCGCGCUAAAGCCAAUAUACCCAAGAUGAACCAUCGACCCGACAUUGAAGAGACAAUCAGGCGAUGUGUCGAAGAAUUGAAAAAAAGAAGAAACUAAAGUGAUUUCAAACUCUGUUAGAAUAUAAGGAUGAAUGUAAAAUAAAUGAUGCUCCGAAAACAUGUAAAUAAAUAGAGAUAUAAGUAACACAGGUAGCAUAGGGUCCGUUCAGGAAUUUUAUAAAUCGAACAAGUAGAUUUAUCAGGGCCGGAAUGUUACGGACCCAAUUUAGAUAGCAAGGCCGGCCAAUAAACAAAAUAAUGUUAUUGAAGUGCAAACGAGCGCAUAGAAAAUUUAUAGCCCAAUGAAUCACCAAUGCCAGAUACGGCCAUGUGAUUCAUCCCUUUCUUAUUUUUCUUUUCCUUUUGUAUAGCUUCAGACAAGCGGUGCAUGACGCACCAGAAAGUAGGGACAAAUAAAUAAACAAAUUUGUGACCCGCACGAUCCUCUGAAUAGAUCGUAUUACUCAUAGUGUAGCGCAGGCAUACAAGAUAGGAAAUCACGUGUUCAUUUGGGACCGUGAGCAGGCAGCAUAGACAGAUAAGGCGCCUGGAAUACACAAAGACAACAAGGCACCAGGCGAAGGAUGAUUAUUGCUGGUAAUAAGCCUGGCCUCGCCCAUUAUCGAAUAUACGAAGGGCUGUAAACAAAAAUAACAUUCUAAGCCGGCGAUGAGUAAUAAACUUUCUAAAUUGUACCCCUCUAGCGAGAGCAACAGAGGGAAUAGCUAUAGGUCCGCAGAGAUAAGCGGGUAGUAAUUACAUGUAGGGAAAUAGCAGGCAGACAAUCGAUAUGGGCUCGGUUGUCUGAGAAGGAAAGAGAGAUCUCUUCUCUCCUUUAUAGUCUUAACGCCUAGGAAUGAAUUCUUGGGUAUAUAUACUCGGGAUUCUGGCCUAGGAAGAGCAGUACAGUUCAGUUCAGUUCAGACAAGGUUCAAUUCACAAAUUCACACGAAAAGUUCAAAUUCAUGUUAAGAAGCCAAUUCAAGUUCAAAAUUCGAAAGUUCAAAUCGAAAAGUUCGAUUUCAAGUUAAAAUUCAAUUAUAAAGUUUGUUUUGUAAAGUCUUUAUAAGUUGUUAAAAUAAAGUUAGUAAAACCUUAAACACGUGAGAUCAUUCCAACCAACGAGACGAGCGCCCGGCGGUAAUCGUGAUCAGAGUUCCUAACAGGGAAGGAACUCAAAAAAGGGCAGAUUGGUGAUACCUUAAAUCCGAAACCAUUCACCAGCGUUGACAACUAGGCGCCACGCAUCCAAGGCCAGAGCUCCUAACAAGGAAGGAGCUCAAAAUUAAAGAACGUGUGAAAUAUGGACGUCAAAAGCUGCGCAAAUUGCCCGGAGAACAUGCAAGUCGGGCGAAACUUGCUUGAAGCUGACUCCGAACAAUCUGCAAAAUUCAAAAGCCGUAUUGUUUGUGUCGUCCCCGGAUGUAAGCAGAGAUAUCGCCCCGGAAUUUCUUUUCAUGCCUUCCCUCCGAAAAUGGACAAAUCGCGGUAUCUAACUGGAUCCAACGACUACGGCUAAAGAUAGAACCUACAAAAACCUCCCGUAUUAGUAGCCUCCAUUUCACCGUGUCGAACUUCUACUCUCCAAAAACAAGCCGUGCCACUGAUCGCUUAAUUCUUAGGCCAUCAGCAGUUCCCGACUUGAAUUUGCCACAACCUCCCAUCAGCGAAGCCAGGAAAAGACUUAUUGAGGGCCGUGCUGAACGUGCUGCAAACCGUGCCAAAGUUGGGACAGCGAUGGACCAGAGACAUGAUACACCAAACCUUUCAGAUCUUGCCAUCGAUGCUGAAUGUGCAGAUCAUCCCGAAGUCUGUGUUUCUACAAUAGAGAAAGCAGUUCAGGUAGACACUACGGAUUUGGAUAAACUUAAAGUCAAGCGUAUCUCAGCGAUCUCCUUUGGAAGCGAUGACGAUCUUGUAUCAUGGACUGGACUUAAAUCAAGAGAAAUGUUCGAAUCUAUUGUCAAAUCAGUGACUCUCGUGAAGCAGUAUCGUCAAAUGCCUAAAUCUACAGUGAAGCUAGAAGAGGAAAUACCGGAUUCCUACACAAUAGACAUGUUAAGAAUAUAUAUUUUUAAAUAAAUAGGCCUUUACUAAAGUGUUUCUUCCCUGAAACUACCUUUUUUAAACAAGUCGUUUAUUAGUAGCCUCUUGAUGAGUUCAAAGUAAUUCCUUAAGCACAGAGGCGAAUUAAUUACUUAUUAUUCAAAACACGUUAUAGUGCAUUUUGCACCAAGUUGGACUGUUUCGGCCUUCUCCAUAAGUGCGAAAAUACGAAUAAAA